rnacentral:rRNA from 1 species
ACACUCCUACGGGAGGCAGCAGCGGGGAAUUUUGGACAAUGGGCGAAAGCCUGAUCCAGCCAUGCCGCGUGCAGGAUGAAGGCCUUCGGGUUGUAAACUGCUUUUGUACGGAACGAAACGGCCUUUUCUAAUAAAGAGGGCUAAUGACGGUACCGUAAGAAUAAGCACCGGCUAACUACGUGCCAGCAGCCGCGGUAAUACGUAGGGUGCAAGCGUUAAUCGGAAUUACUGGGCGUAAAGCGUGCGCAGGCGGUUAUGUAAGACAGUUGUGAAAUCCCCGGGCUCAACCUGGGAACUGCAUCUGUGACUGCAUAGCUAGAGUACGGUAGAGGGGGAUGGAAUUCCGCGUGUAGCAGUGAAAUGCGUAGAUAUGCGGAGGAACACCGAUGGCGAAGGCAAUCCCCUGGACCUGUACUGACGCUCAUGCACGAAAGCGUGGGGAGCAAACAGGAUUAGAUACCCCAGUAGUCCCAUG